UUAAGGAAGAACUGGAUUCAAGAAAUAUGGCAAGAAACUACCUUUUUAUUCAUUAGUUCUCAGCCGUUCCAUUGGAAAUCCAAAACAAAACAAAGAGAAAGACCCCAAGCCAAAUACCUCAAUUAAAAAAGAAAAAGAAAAAGGGGGGGUUUUGAGGGGCUUAAUUUAAGUACAACUUUGAAACAAAUGGAAUUCCUAGGAGGGAAGUAAACAACUUAGUAGCCUUUAGGCUUGUAGGCAAUGAAACUAAUGCACUGCACUUGACGAACGUUGUCGAACCCAAUGAUUCUAAUGAAUGCAUUGGGGUAUUCCUUCUUGCAAUUCUCAAGCUCCUCCAACACCUGAGCCGAGUCAGUGCACCCAAACAUGGGCAGUUUCCACAUGGUCCAGUAGCGUCCAUCGUAGUACGUGGGUAAGCUCGAGUACUUACGGUGCACGAAUCCCUCCUGCACAUACAUAUAAAACACAUUUAAUCAAAUCAAAUAUCCCACUAAAAAAAUAAAGUGUUGGAAAGGAAUAAUUUAGAGCUCGAAAACACCUCUAAUUCGAAUUCCAAGCAAGGAAUCCAUUUAGAGCGAAGAAGGUAAUCUACUUCCUUAGCCAACUGUACGGGUGUAAGAUCGGGGAGGUAUGAGAGUGUCUCGAACUUCUUCUUCCCAAGAGGAGGCCACACCUAUACUCAAAAGCCAAGAUAUAUAUUUGAUUCAAUUUAUGUAAUUUGUUGUGUUCAAACAAUUGGGGUAAUUUAAGUUGUAUUUAUGCAUCACCAAGUACCUGCAUGCAUUGCACUCUCCCACCAUUGCUUGCAAGAGAAGUGAUGUCGUUGUUGGCCUUCCUAGUGACUGGGAAAGCAGAGGCAGACUUGAGGCCGGUGAAGGGGGCCACCAUGUUGGCCUGUGCCGGGGAGGAGCAGUUCACGGUGGCAAUGGUUGCCGAUGAGAUCAUGGAGGAGGCCAUUGCUAUUACUGCUUACUAGUACUAUAUGCUACAGUUAUACAAAAGAGUCUCACUGAUCCCUUAAUAGUGUCACUGCCUUGGUGCAAUCCCCUAUAUAUAGUCAUAAAAUUUGGCCUAAGCUCACAACAUUUAGAGAUUGGUUUGGGAGAAAGGGUGACCGUUGGAUCCUAAAUCAGAUGACAUUACAACCAUUAUGACCACAAAGAGGGUGGAAACUUUUCUUGAAUGGUAAAGCCUUAUCUUUGGCAACCUGCCACGUGGAAGAAGCACAGUGAUCUUAUCUCAUUUCAUCCAAUGGAAACCGUGAAUGCCUGAUUUCUCCUUUGUCCCCUCUUCACGGUCCCAUUUGGCCAUUCCCGAUUCAAAAAAAAUCUAUGUCCAUACCUUGUUUGCUUGGUCAUGCUUGCCUUUUGUGUUUUUACCUUUCGCCUUAUCUUCAAAUAUGGUAACUCGGUAACCAAGUGUUAAUUCUUUCAUAUAAUUUUGAUGUCGAUUAUAGGAAUUAAUUGUUAACAUGAGCGCAGCUACAGUUGUAGUGGCAUGAUUUAAAAAAAAAAACUGUUAAAAAGGAGAAGGUAAUAUUAUUCUGACUAGACCUUUCUGAUGAUUAUAAACUGUUGCAGCUAAAAGAUGGAAGCAUUUUUUAGGAUUGGAAUGUAUGAGAGAAUUAAUGGCAAGUUACUGAAACAGGCUCUUACUUCAAGACCCCGCAACAUUGAAAGCCUUCCAACAAAACAAACAGUGAUUUUGGCAAUCAUUAGCAUGCAGUUAUAGAUGGCGCUUUUCUUUUUCCCUUUUUUGUAUUUAAAUACAAACAAAAAGGCUUGUAUCCCCAAAGAAUCUACAACAAGGAUUGGGGAAGAUUCAUAUAUAUGGAUUCCAUGUUUGAUUGCCUUGAGAUGCGAACAGGACCCAGUAAUGUGAGGGGUGAACCUUUGAUAAACGAAAGGAAGUUUGAUGUCACCAUUUUCGAGGAUAUAGUUUUGGAAGAAAAAGGGGGAGAAGAAGGAGAGUUGGCACAAUUUUAUAGUUCUGCAUCAUGACAUGAUUGUCCAUGUUCACUGCAGUGUACAAAUAUUAGGGUAUUACAAAUACAAUUUCCAACUCUGGAAAUAUUUUCUAAAUUUGGAGGUCAAAGUGUGGCCUGUUAGUCUCCUGGAAAACAGAUUAUGAUGAAGCCAACCAUUUUUUUAUAUUAUGCCACACUUGAAAUGCCAAUAAUUAUAUUCAGUAUGUUUGGAGAAAGAAGAAAGGCACACAUUUAUUUACCCACAACCACAGCUAAUUUACACAAGACCAAAAUCCAACGGAUUCCUGUACAAAACAUUAAUACACACUCAAUAAAUAUAACAAUACUAAACUAAAUCUUUUAAUCUUGAAGAUAUGAAUUAUUGAAAGAAAAUGAAUAUUUGAUAAUUACUGAAAAGUUAUAUGUUAGAUAAAAUACUUUAGUGAAUAAAUAUAAAUAUAACUAUUUAUAUUAAAUACAAGAUCUUGAACAAAUAAUAUAAACAAAUAUUUAUAUUCAUGUAAAAACACCAGAUCUAAACAAAACAAAUUAAAUAAAUAUUUAUAUUUAUUUAAAACAUCAUAUCUGAAAAAUAAUUAAAUAAACAAGAUCUUGAAAAAUCAGAAAUCGAAUAAGGGAAUCGAGUUUUACUAGAUGUUGAGGCCUGUUUUCACAGUUUCCAUAAGAUGGAUUCGGCAGUUCCUAGGGUACUUGGAGAAACGUUGGUCGUCUGUCUUCCAGGAUACAACAACAAAAUGAUCGUGGGAGUAGUGCUUCUGCAAUGAUCAAUGAACAAACCUUGCCUUUUUCUAUCACCGAACAUUUGAAAAUUUUGGAGAGAAAAGGAAAAGAAUUUUCGAGAGUGAAAUAAAUUCGUUGUGUAUCUCUAAAAAAUUCUGCAAUAUUCUUUAGGCUUUUUUAGGCAUUCAAUGUAGAGGAAUUUUGGAAAUUUCCAUGAAUAAAGAUACAAAUCUACAUUAAAGGAGCCUUUAAAUCAAUUUGAAUAAAAUAAAAUCAAAUUUGAUUGGAAUCAAAUUAAAACGAGAUAUUUGGCCUUUUAAAACAGAUUUUGUAUAAUAUUUGCUAAGAAAAAAAAAUACAUAUUGGGCUAACAUAUUCGCAGGCCUAAAAGGGCCCGAUCGGUCUAAACAUUUCGCGUUACCCAUGUCAUGCGAGUGCGUCCCCAACCCCGAUGGAUUUGGAUUUGCACCCCUUGAGCACAAGGGAGAGCAUUAGUUUACCAAUAACCAUUUAGUUGGUUUACAUAUAUAUACAAGUUCCACACUUGAUUCCUAAUCAAUGUGGGACUAAUGCUUUUUCAUUUUUUCUUAACAUAAUUCCCAAGUAGCUUACUUUAAGCAUCAAUUUCUCAUUCAUCACUCAACCAUUUUGAACAUAUGAUAUCCCAUUGUAAAGGUCUCAGGGGUAGAACAUUAAAUUAUAAUUUUAUGAUUCAAAACUCCUCAUUUACCAAUCAAAAAUAUGCCUCAAAGAUUUCAAAAAAAAAUCAUAUUUUUCCAACAAUGCCCCACAUGAAUGAAAUUGAUAAUUUUAACGAUAAGCAUUGACUGAAUGGGGUGAUAGAUUCUAUGAUUGAUAGUUGCAUAUGAUAGGUAGACAUCAACUCUUGUACCUUCCCUUGUGAAAGUAUAUUUACUUUACUAGCUAACCAAUAGACUCAAUGUCCUUGAACUAUUCUGCCGUUUGUGUAAAUAAUGAUAUACCUCACACAACUACCUUAUUGGCAAGGUCUUCGUUCUCAUGGGUAUGUUCAUAUGGCCAUGAACAUUUCUUGUGUAACACCCUUCGCCCGUAUCCCUCGUCGAAACAGGGUUCGAGGUGCUACCAGAUUUAAACUCAACCAUUUAUAUAAAACCAGUCCGUAAAAAUUUUUGAUCAAUUUUAAACUUUUCAUACACGCAUAUAUUAUCCUUUAAUCGGGCUUACAAGGCCCCAAAACAUUCAUGAGGCAUUAUUAAAUAUUUACCAAUAUCUUAGUCUUGUAUCAUUUACUUACUCAACAAUGAAUCACAAUUCAAAUUCUAAAUAUACAUGCUAUAAACCACAUCACAGGAGAUAAUAACAUACAAGCAUAUGAAUAAUCAAACUACCUUAAUAAUAAGCCAAAGUCUUUGGCUUAAUCAUAAUAUUACAUACUCAACUUUACAACCCUAUACAUGCCAUAGACUCAGAAUACUAAAAUUUACUUACGCCGAUAGCGUAAACUCGACAAUGUGAUAAUAUCUCUGACGGCCUCCAACCCGAGCUAACCUGGCAACCCUAGGGAAUAUGGGAAAGAAAAGGGGAGUAAGCUUUACGCUUAGUAAGUUCAUAAGAAAAUAAUAAGCAACUUAUUAACAAGUUUUAUCAAUGUUUACAACAUAAUCACAAAUUCACUACAAGUUGUCUUCUUGAGCAAUAGUCACUAAAUUAUUUAUAACUGGAGCUACGAAACUCCAAAUCAAUUGCCGUUAAUUUUCCCUGAAAAUAGACUAAUAUAUCUUCUAUCCAUAGAAUUUUCAGAAUUUUUUGUUUGGCCAAUCAAUACCAGAUUUUUCUUAAAGUUUUCUCUAUUUUACUGUUUGACUAAUCUGACCACUCUUCACUAUGAAUCAAAUUUCUCAUUGUACAGAAUUCAAAAUAUGUUCUCAUUGAUUUCAUUUGAAACUAGACUCAUUAAGGAGUCUAAGAAUAUAAAUUUUAUCUUAUAAAAUUUUUUGUACAAAUUAUAAUGAUUUUCUAAAAACAGAAUAAGGGACCCUAAAGUCAUUUGACUCUGUCCCACGCCACUUCAAAUAUCUCAUUAUUAGCAAUUCUUUUUCUUACAUGGUUUCUUUUAUAAGAAACUAUACUCAUUAAGCUUUAAUUACAUAAUUUAUUCAGCUUCUAACUCAACUCCCACAAUUUAUGUUGAUUUUCCAAAAUCACGUUACUGCUGCUGUCCCAAGCAGAUUUAUUACAAAUUUACUCUUUCACACAUUCUUUGCAUUCAUAUUAUUUAAACAUGUAUAUCACCAAUCAAUUUCAUCACAUAUCUAUAAUUUCACUUAAGCAUAAUCACAAUACAAUACAUCAUGCUCAAUGAUUCGCACACAACCGUUCAAAUUAGCAAUUAUAAGAUGGUUCCGCACAUAGCCCACCCUUAUCGAUAAUUUACGAUGGUUUUACCCUUACUCACAUAUAUGACAUAAGCAUUUAAAUACUUCAGUGUCUACUUUAAUUCAACCAAAUUCAACCAUUGUACCAUUUCAUAACCACAGUUACUUUCGUCAUUCAUAUCUAAAUGGUAUUUCACAUAAUUCAUAUAACCUUUCACCAUGACCGAAUACACACAUACACAUAUGACAUCUUCACCUAUGCUUCUCAUUUCACAUUCGUGAUUCAAUUCCAAUCGAUCUAACAUGUAUAAGUAUAUAUCACAUACCUGGCCAACUUAAUGUAUUGAACGAAUUCAAUUGCCGAUUUAACACAAGGUCUCAUAGUCUUAGACUUUUAUCAAAUCACCGGCAUUUAGCCUGCUAGGUUUUAAACCCGAAUUCAUCACCGGCACGAAGCCUGCUAGAAUUUAAGUCUGAACUCAUUCACCAGCAUUUCGCCUGCUAGGCUUGAAGCCCGAUAUCAUUUCACCGACAUUAUAGCCUGCUAGGCUCGAAGCCCGAUAUUAUCUCACCGGUAUUAUAGCCUGCUAGGCCCAAAGCCCGAUAUUAUCUCACCGGCAUUAUAGCCUGCUAGGCCCGAAGCCCGAAUAUCACAUUUCGAUAAACAAUUCACCUGUUCUUUCAUACUUUCAUAACUUAUACUUCAAUUACGUAUAACUGAAAUACAUAUCUAUGAACAAAGAUUUUCAUCCUCUCAACCACAUAGGGUUUAAUUUCCACAUUGGAACACAUAUCUUAGUACAUCAUUUAAUAGUAUCAAAAUCGACUAGAUAUGCUAGUCACAUACGGCUCAUAACUUUAAUUUAAUAUUCAUUCAAUACAAAGAACAUAUGUAUAUAUAUAUACAAUCAAACAUCUUCUUAAUUAUGAUUAUUCAACUCUUAAGCAUAUAACAUGAUCAAACACAAACACUUAAGAACUUACAUUGGAUUUUAUCGAAUAACUACAGAUUGACUAAUCGACUAGUUUUGCUUUCCCUUUAUCCAAAAUUGGCUCCUUAUGCUCUUGAGCUUGAUUAACAAAUUCAACUUAUCACAUCUCUAUUAUUUAAAACCACAUUUGGCAAUUUAUAAAAUACCAUAAUUAUCACAUCUCAUUCAUCCAAAAUCACAUUCGACACAUAAAAAAAAACAUUGAUAAGUCUCAAAACACAAACAACACUUAUCAAAUUCAUGUAAUUUACACACUUCACAUGGCACUACUACACUCAUUAACCUUACUUUCAUACAACCACUCUUCUUUGACCGAAUGCUAUAACAUCAAGUGCACAUGCUGUUCAUAUAGCCGAAUAUCACUUAACUAAUUAAUUAAAAAUCUUUUAAUACUUAAUUCCACAAGUCCAUUCGGCAUUAGCUCAUCCAACUCAUAUUUUUCAUUGACAACCUCUAUAACUACAAUUUAUUCACAUCCUUAUUCAUGCUACAUUCGGCCAUUAUAAAUAAAAAAAAAUAUAUAAAUAAUUACACAAUGAUCACUUUAGUCGAUUAUAAAAUUCUCAAUUAAAUCACAUAUAUCAUUUACCAGCUCAAACUCCUCCUUUACCUCAUUUCUCUCUUUAAUUCAUAUUCGGCAAUCUUUCUAACCGCUUAAACGAUUAUAGCACAAGGACAUUUUCAAUUCAAUCAAAGAUGAUCUGACAUUUACAAUUUGCAAAUGGUAAUUUCAUUCUAUUUAUCUCAAUUUACUAACAAACCCAACCUUGCAUGGAUUUAAGCACAUUCGGCCAUUAUUUAACAACAAUUCAUUCACAUCAUAAUUCAUGUUCAUAUUCGGUCAUCUAUACCCAUACUAACCGUAUAACUAUUAAAUUCCAAAUUUAAACACAAGUAUAACAUUUUAACACAAUGGCCGAACACUUCAUGAAGUUACCAAAACUCAUCAUUUGCUAUUUCACACACACUCACAUCCAAUCCUUUUUAUUAAACACUCAAAAUCAACCAUCUUCAUGCCUCAUCACAAAAACAUCAAAACACCAACCAAGAAAUACAACAUCCAUGGCCGAAUAUCAUCUCCAUCAAAUAGCAAAAUUUGAACCAUGGGCUAGGUAGAAUUCAAACUAACAACUUAAAAUAAUCAUGAAUUUCAAAGAAUAAUAUCAAUCAUACCUCAAUCUAGUUACAAGCAUAGCCGAACUUCUUAGAAACUUUUCCUUUUCUCUUUUACUUGGUUUUUUAGCUAAGGAAGAACAAAGAUGAACAAACUUUGUUCUUUUCACCCCUUUUUUAUUUCAUAUUAUAAAACAUUUAGUAAUUAUAUUUCUUAUAUAUAUAAAAUGCAUAUAUUACAAAUCAUCAUCAUCAUGGCCGGCCACUAACUUUAAAUUGGACAAUUUGACAUGCAAGUCCUCCCUUUUAAUAAGCCAUGCAUUAUUCGGUCACCUUAUUUCUUCCUAACACAUUCUUCAAGUUUAUCACAUAAGUCAUUUUUCAUAAUUUCACAUUCAAAUGACAAAAUUUAGACAUGAUACUUUCACACAUGAUACUUCACAUAUAAUAAACAUAGAAAAGAGCAUUUAAAUAAUUUUGUGACUUAGUUUUGUGGUCCCGAAACCACUUCCCGACUAGGGUCAAAUUAGAGCUGUCACAUCUUGGUUCUGCAAGAGUUUGAGAGAUGAUCUCCUCGAAGGGGCCCCACUUCGCUCUCACUUAGGUGACUUAUGUUACUCGGCUCUCCGAAACACACAAUCGUCAUUAAGAGCUUUGCUUAACCUAUCUCACUUUAAAUCACUAUUUAUAUCAUAGGAACAGACUUGGAAUAAGAACCCUCAUAGUGACCUCACAAGGCCUAUGCAAUUAGGUUGUCCCUUUGAACCUAGAUCUUGGGAUUCUAGUCAACUAGGUUGGGUUUUCCUUCACAUAGCACCUUUAAUUUCCAUGGACUUUAGUCCCAUUCCUUUCGAUGUUUUAUUAACCUGAUCUCAAUUUAAGCAUUUAGUUAGCAGAUCCACAAUGUUAUCUUUUGAUUUUACACAAUCUAGGCUAACUCGAUGCUCCUUCAACCAAUCCAUGCAAAAAAUAAGAUUGAAUUCACCGAAUGGAAGCUCCAUCAAGUCAGCUGGAAACAACUCUCCCUAAAUUUCUAAAAGAUAUCUCCUAAAAAUUUUAUUCACAUACACAAAUUGUCCUGGGGGACUGAGUAUAGUUAUGUCGCUAGCAUUGUUUUCCACCAGAACUCCGAAUUUGUCAGUCAUAGAGCAGGCAAUAUGAGAGUGAGUUGAUCCUACAUCUACCAAAGCAAAGUAUUGUACAAAAUUUUUUUGUAAAAGUACUUGUGUUAACAUUAGCUGCAUUACCGUUCUCCUGGUGCCUCGCUGUAUAAACCAAGGUGAGCUAUUUAGCAUUAAUGCAGUUCGCACCUUGACUAGUUGUCCUCUGCUUAGUAUUACCAUUUCUGUUUUUACUACACCCCCUUAGAUUCUGAUUCGAUUGGGGUUGCGGUGCUUACCUCUUACCCCUUAUUAGUGGACAAUCCUUAAUCUGUUGCUCCAUGGCCCCACACCUUGAGCAUACUCUCUUGCUUUGUCAACACUUGUAACACCCCUAACCCAUAUCCGUCGCCGAAAUAGGUUAUGAGGCAUUACCGGAUAAUACAUCACAUUCUCAUACAUUUAUGCAUUCAAUAUUAUAAACCAUUCACAAACAUUCACAUUGUCCUUUAAAAGGUUUUACGAGACCUUAAAUCAUGCUUAAAAGUGGUUCGGGACUAAACCGAUCACCUAUAAAAAUUUUCGAACACUUAGAAAAAUUUCAUGAAAUCAAAGGUCACAUGCCUGUGUGCAUAAGCCGUGUGCCUCACACGGCUACCAGACACGCCUGUGUCACAGGCCAUGUGAAAAUAGGGCAUACAUACUGACUUAUACCACACGGCCGAGGACAUGCCCGUGUGCUAGACCGUGUGAAAUUUAAGGGAGGUUAUUGAAUUAGGUCACAUGGCCAACCUCACACCCAUAUGCCAGCCCGUGUUCUACACAUGGCCAGUAGACAUGCCCGUGUGUCUAGGCCAUGUCAAAACUGUAUAGGCAGCCAAACCUAAACCACAUCAAAUUGCAUCAUUUCUAAACAUAUAUAGGCAGCCAAAACAUGCCAAUUCACACACAUACCAUGCUAUUUAUCCACAAUCAUUUCAACUACUCAAUUCCAUAUUCAAACAAACCAAACCAUUAUGCAAAAUUCAUCACAACAUACAUAAGUUCCAAAUACAUUAACUCAUUAUCUUAUCAUCUAUUCCAUAUCACAUAACACAUAACACAUUAUAAUAUCAUCUCAAAAUCAAACCACAUUAUGUCAACUUUUAAGCCAUAUUUCUUCAUCUAUAAACUAUACCAAACAAGCCAACACAUUAGGCAUUAUAAACAUCAUCUAUAUAUCACUUGACAAGCACAUAAUUCAAACCAACUUACAUGGUCAUAUACCAACAUUCACAAGCCAAAUCUCAUGGCUAAAAUCACAACUCAAAACAUAUCAAGAUGAUAAUAGCCUAUACAUGCCAUAUACCAUAUAUACAAAGCUUCUAAAAAUACCAACGAGAUGAUCGAUAGUGCGAUGACGUAUUCCUGAUGAUCCCCGAGUUCGAGCUAGCUUCGAUGAUCUAUAACAACAAGGAAAGAACACAUAAAGUAAGCUUUAAAAGCUUAAUAAGUCAUAUACAAAUAAAAUCAUCAUAUUAAUCACAAAAUUUCCAUUAUUAAGCCAAGUACAAUAUACACAUAUAGAUAUACAAACCUUUCUCAAUAAAAACAUAUUCAUUUUCUCAUGUAAACUCAACAACUACUUUAGUUUCCAAAUCUCAUAUAAAUCUCGUAUAUACCAGAGUCGUUUAACUUAUUAACACAUUCUUUCUCGACUUGUCUUUGCCCACUGAACCAUUCGGAAUUAUUAAGGAUACUCCAAAAUCAUAUAAGCUUGUACAAUGCCAUAUCCCAGAUAUGGUCUUACAUGUUAUCACAUAUCGAUGCCACUAUCUCAGAGAGGGUUUACACGAAAUCGAUUAACGACGCCAACGUCCCAGACAUGGUCUUACACAUAAUCUCAAUACAAUGCCAAUAUCCCAGACAUGGUCUUACUUAUAAUCACAUCUCAAUAACCUAAUGUCAUGACAUUUGUAUCCUAUUCUAUUCCUAAGGUUCGUACGGGACUUUCAGGUAUCUCAAAUCUGUCGAUUCUUGCUCGUAAUUACUUGUUCAACAUUCAUAACAAUUCAAUCAUAAAUAAACAUAUAUAAUUCAAUGUAAAUACAUUUAUUUGAAUAUGUACUUACCUUGUAGUCGAAAUAGAUGAAUUUGAUCGAUUACUUGAUAACUUUCGAUUUCCCUCAAUCUAAAUCUGAUUUCAUUCUUUCAGGAUCUAUAAAAAUUCAAAAUUAACUCUUUUAUUCCUAAAUUCAUUCAAAUUCAUCCAAAGCACAUAAUUUGGGGCAUUUUACACAUUAACCCCUAUAAUUUCACAUUUCUUACAAUUUAGUCCUUAUUUCACAAAAUCACAAAUUACAAAAUUUCUUUCUAAUUUCAUGCUAGCCGAAUUUCAUAUAGCUUCAUAUCAUCCCAUAUUUUCAUUUAUUUCACACUUUUGACCACACAUUUUACACUUUUCACAAAUUAGUCCUUUUUAAGCAAUUUCACUAAAAAUAACUUUACAAAACAUGAUAAUCUAUAAACAAUUACUCAUUUUCCAUCAUCAAACAUUUAAGAAAUCAAACAUUCAUGAAUGGAAAUUUACAAAAUCACCAAAAAAUUCAGAAAUUAGCGUACGGGCUAGCUAGUACUCAAAGCAACGAUAAAAAAAAUGUAAAAAUCAUCAAAAACUAAGCAAAAAACAUACCUCAAUCAAGAUGAACUAUGGAAGAAACCUUAAAGGUCCCAAAACUCUUAUUUUCUUUUGUUUUUUGGUUGGAAUGAAAAAUAUGAACAAAAUUUUAACUUUGUUUUUAUUAAAUUAUGCUUUAUUUAACUAAUUACCAAAAUGUCCUUAUUUAAUAUCAUUUAAAAUCACAUGAUGGAUGGCUAUUCAUGUCAAUAUCCACUAUCAAUGGUCUAAUUACAACAUAAGGACCUUUCAUUUAAUAAGCCAUAGCAAUUAGACACCUUUAUCAAUUAGAUUGCAACUUUUUCAUUUUACGCGAUUAAGUCAUUUUUCUCAAAUUGAGCUAUUAAACGAUAAAAUUAACACAUGAAACUUUCACACAUACUUAUUCACACGCUGUAAACACAUAAAAUAAUAUUAAAAUAAUUUUAUGACCUCGUAUUUGUGGUUCUAAAGCCAUUGUUCCGAUUUAAGCUAAAACUGGGCUGUUACAACACUCCCCACCAUGAGACUUCCCACAGUGAGCAUAAUUGCGACUCUGAUUUCUAUUACUUGCAAUAGCAGGGUACUGACGUGGUCUAUCUUCACGGACCCUCUUCACUGGGCAUGGAUUAGAAUUUCUCAGACUAGAAUCUCUCUUCACUAGAGUCUUGGUCUUAUCUCUUGUAUCUUGCUUAGCCUCUUUCACCUUUUCAAGGAUCUUCACCUUCUCUACUAAAGUUUCGAAGACUCUCUCCUGCAACAUGAAAAAUUGGGCCUUGAGAUCAUACCUCAGCCCAUUCUCAAAUCUAACAUGCUUUUCCUACUCUGAAGCUUCCAUCCCUUGUGCAUACCGGUUCAAUCUCAAGAACUUAGCCUCAUACUCGGAUAUGGUUCGGUCUCUUUGCUUUAAUUUAAUAAAAUCAAGUUUCCGAGCUUCAACAUACCUCGAGCUCACAUAUUUCUUAUAAAAGGCAGUUUGGACAUAAUCCCAAGUUAUCUUCUUUUGUUGGUUACCUUCCAUGAUAGAUUGCCACCAACAAUAUGCCUCAUCUCUCAAAAGAGACACUGUACACUAAAGUUUAUGUUUUAGGGUACAGUAAAAAUGAUCUAAGAUCCUCUCAAUAGAUGCCAUCUAGUACUCAGGUACCGUAAGGGUUGUCCCAGAAACUCCUCUAAAUACUUCAGCUUUAUUCAACUGAAGCCUCUCAGUAAUAGACUUACGACUUUUAGUUCCUAAUUGGCCUCUAACAACCUGCUAUAAAAUCCUCAAUAGUGUUUGGGAAAUUGUACCAUCUAUAGAUUCAUGAUUUUCCUCCUCAUUAACAAAUUCCUCAGGCACAUUACUCACAAUUUCCAUAACAGGAUCAUCCUCGUUGACACUGAGGUUCGGUGUAGGCAAUCGAGCAGUGAAUGACUCUUUUUAGCCAUACAGUGAUGUGCACCACGAGUUCUAACCCUUUGAUUAUUCAUAGUACUUAAAAUUUAUGAAUUAUCUAACAAUUACAAAUGGAAAUUCUACAUUAUCACUUGAAUUUUUUUUAUCAGAGUCUUUACUAUUGAAAAAAAUACUAUCUAAAAUAUCAUAAUCUAAAGUAAGGAGACUUAUCUUGAUCAGCUUCGGAAGUCCCAAAUUUUUAAUUUUUUGGGGUUUAAAAAUCUUAAAUUCAAUAGAAAGAAAGGUUUUCCAAAAAUUCCUUUAAAAUAUUCGUGCAAACCCAUUAAAAUACACAAUUUGAGUUUUGGAUCGGGCUUUGAUAGCAUUAAACGGAACUCCUAAAACCUCACCUAGACGUUAUGGUUGAAUCUUAAAAAUUAUGUUAAACGAUGUACAAAAUUAUUUGUUUACUUGAAAAUAAAGGUUUUGAGUUUGAAACGUAAAAUUUCUAAGAUUGACUAAUUUUAUUUCUUUGAAAAAUAUUUAAUAAAAUUAUUUAUUUUUAAAAGAAAACGUCACUUAAUUGUAAUGUUGUUCACCUAAGACUAUUUAUGAAUUUAGUAAGAAAAAUUGGAUUUUUCAACCUAACGACAAACUCAACUCAACAAUCGUUAUUUCAUACUCAAGACUUUGUUUUUGAAACUUAACACUAUUUUCUCAUUUAACUGAUAUGUUACAAGAUAUGUCAAAAUUACAAUUUCAAAUCAACGAGUGAGAUGUAGCUAAAAUAUUUUUCGCUGUGACUGUUUUGAAACAUGAUGUUUUCUGGAAACCUUCGAAAACUAGAGUUUUCUAAAGAUAAUCGAUUUUGAAAAAUUCUCUCAAAAAGAAAACUUGCAGGUAUUGCUCAGUUUUUCUCAAGAAAAUUAAAAUGAUGAUUUUUUAGUAACAACAUUAUUCGACAGAAAUAGUUAAAUGAUUUUUCAUGCGAUUACCAUGGCCAAUGUGAUCUUCGAGAUUCGGCCAUAACGUCUAGGUCGGGUUUAGAGUGUUACAGUUUCUUAUAGGAUCAAACUCUUGAAUUAUGAUUAAAGAAUAGAAAAAAGAAGGAUAACAAAUAAAGUGAUAAAAGGGAUAUAACUUUCAAACUUGAAACAAACUUAGAAAUUAACCUACGUUAUAUAACAACGAGACUUAAUUUUUAUACAGUUGUUGAAAACUUAAAAAGUUUGGGAAACGAAGAAGAAUUGUGACCCACUAUCUAUACAGAGAUAGGAACCAAUGGUAUAGGGGUGAUCGCCACACUUCGAAAAUAGGUGAGAGGGGAAGUGAUAAGAUUGAAGGUAGUAAACGCCACAAGAAAACAAUUCUUGAUAAGUUCAUUUUUUAAGUUGUUAAAGAACAAAAAAGAUUUAACUCAAAUAUAUAAAAUGUUCAUUAGCCUUGGAAUGUCUACAAUCAAAACUAUUUAUAGGAAAACUACUAAGUUAGAUGAAUGGAAAAAUUUUGGCCAAUAAUAAUUACAUGCAUCAAACCCAUUAAUGAACCAAAGGAGUUCAUGUAUUUCUUCAUACAUUAAAUGAAUAAAAAGGCUUAUGCUUCCCUCCUUAACGUGCAUGCAUCUAAUUGUUCAAUGUAUAUGUAUAUGUGAAUGGUCACAUUCUCUUCCCCCUUGCCGUCCAUGCAUCUACUAGUUUUCAUUCAUGCAUUUACAAGGUUCAACGUAUGCUACAUAAGUCGCAUACAUUCCCCUUAAUCAUACAUGCAUCUUGGUAUUCAUUGAAUCGGCCAAUAUUAAAAAAAAAGUCCCCCAUUGAUGACGCAUGUCUAUGGAGUUUCUUCCCUUUUUGCCAAUGUAUCUUUUUAGUUCAAUGUGUUGCAUUUAAUCUAUUCAUCCUCCCUUGGUCGUACGUGAAUUUAGAGAAGGUGGUGAAAAUCCACAAGGUACAUGUGUGGUAUAAAUAUAGCUAGCUAAUGUACCUAAAUCACAUAUAAAUAGCAACAUAAGAUCAUUUCAACACAAGAAAAAAUACAGGACAUGACAUAAACAUAGAUUAUCACAUAUCUUAACAUACAAAAUAAGAACAAUAGACACAUGAAAAAUGAACAAAAGACAUAAACACUUAAGCUCAAAACACGCAUAAGCAUUAUUAAAACAUAAAAAUAUAAGACACAAAAAAAAUAAAACAUCCAUAAUAGAAAUUAAGUCAGAAACUGAAGUUCUACUACUAAGUGGCUGAAAAAUAUGGCCGGAAUAACCACUUCAAAGAGGUUGCAUUUUAGCUUGUAUUUGGGCUCCUCACGUUUGGACCAAUCUUCAUGUUUGGACCCAACUUGCAUUAUGGGUGUAAAAACCCAAUUUAGCCCUUUAAUUUGUGGCCCAAUAAAGAAGCAAAAUUGAGUCUUAGCCCAAUCAAAGGCCCACGUGGUUAGGCUUACAUCAAAUAGGAAAGAAUAAUCAUAAAGCAUGUACAAAACAUAAGUUAAAUAGAAAUAUAGGCAUAGGUACUGAACUAUGUACAAGGUUUGCCAUACUUGUGCGAAGCCUGGUUCACAAAAACUUAAUGUCAGCUAACUUAAGAAAAACUUAUGUUUUCAGAAACAUAAUCUUAUUCAAUUGUUUGUUCCGUUUGGAUAAGUGAAUCUCAUUAUAAUGCCUUAGAAUGACUCAACGAGUCCUUAUCAUAAGUGCAGAACAAUGCUAAAUACUCCAACAUGUCUUAUUGAAUGGAGCUUAGCUCGAUAUUCCCUUAUCUUUCUAUCCUGUCCCAGGGCUCAAUGCCCAAAACAUAAAACAUAAAGGUGAGUACUCACCAUCCUAUGGCAUGCCAUUAUAUCCAACUGUAACAACUUGUUUUUGGUUAAAUUAGAAUAGUGGUUUCAGGACCAAAAAUUUGAAGUUGAAAUAAUUAUUUUAUUAUUUUAAUCUUUACAGCAUGAUAGUGUGUUUGUGUGGAAGUUUCGUUUAGAAAUUUUAUCGUUUGAGUGUUUAAUUCGAUAAAAAGGACUAAAUUGCGUAAAGUGCAAAACUUUAGUUCUAUUAAUAAAGGUAUCUAAUAGCUAUGGUUUAUUAAAUUGAAGGUCCUUAAGUGGUAAAUAGACCAUUGUUUAAUUGAAUGGACAUUUAUGUGCAUGGUUAGAUGAAUUUUAAAGGUUAAUAUUCAAGGUUAAUAUAGUAAAUUGGUAAAUAUAUGUUAGUAAAAUAAUAAAGAAACAAAUGGUCAUCUUCCUAAGUGUUUAACCAUCGAAAAUUAACCUUAAAAACUCCAUGGAAAGGGUUUGAAGCAUUCUGCCAUAGCUAUCCAUGCAUGUAAGUGUUUUAUUGCUUGAUUUUUAAUGUUUUCUAUGUUUUUGAUAUCGUUGCAGCUUAGUCUAGCUAGCCCAGGGACUAUUCUGCAAAAUUGUUAAAGGUUUAGGAUGUUUCCAUUGACGAAUGAGCAUGUAUUUUAGUGAUUGAUGAUAGAUUAUGAAUGUUUGAUGAUAGUUACACAGGUUUUGUUAAGUGAUUUUUGGUGAAAAUGUAAAUUAGGGAUUAAAUUGAGAAAUGUGGAAAGUUUGUGGGUAAAUUUUAAAAUAAAUAAAAAUUAUGGGCUGAUAUGUGUACUAGAAAAAUUCGGCUAGCAUGGGUUGGUAUCAAAUUGCAUUAAUUUGUGAUUUUAUGAAAUAAGGACUAAAUUGUAAAAGUUGUGAAAUACUUGGGGAAAAAGUGAAAAUGUGCUCUAAUGAGUGUUUUUGGAUUAAAUUGAAUAGAGCUAUAAUUAAAUAAGCUAAAUUUGAUUACAUAUAGAUCAAGAAAAGUGAAAUUCGGAUUUAGAUUGGGGAAAGACAAAGUACUCGACUAAUCGACCUAUUUCAUCGUUUUUGUGAACUGAGGUAAGUUUGUAUGAUUAAUAAGCUUAAUGUUAUAUGUGUUUAUAUGCUUAGAUAUUAUAAUUGUGAUAUUACGACACUAUGGAAUCUAUCGACAAAGCAUUGACACAGUGAGAAUCCUGGUUGAACCUAAGGAAUAAAUAGGACACUAGUGACAUGUCAUUAGGGAUUAUUAUGAUUAUGUGAUCUGGGUACUGGUCCUGUACAUCCUACCGGUGGCUGAGUAUACCAUCAUGGGUUACGGUAACUUGACAGCUUGUGCAAGCAAAAUUGUGUAGCUACAUCUUGACUAACAGCUUGUAUGAGUAGGCCCGUUGAUAGGUCGAGAGUGAGCAAAUAUGUGAUAUGAGAUUGAUAUAGUAUUGGCUAUGUAUGUGGCACUUUGGUGUGAGAUUGCUGAGUAUCUGAUAUUAUUCUGAAUGGUUCAACGGGAAAAGAUGAUAGUACGAGAAUGUAAGCAAUGAUACGGAUCAUUUCAGGUACUCGUGAAAAGUUUGGCAAGCAAGUGAUAAUUGAUAAGUUUAUUCGAAAUGUAAGUGAAAUUUGAUGAAUUUAUACGUGAUACAUAGAAUUAUGGCAAUGUGUAAAUUUUUGAUUUGAAUGAAAUACUUAUGUUACUCAUGUUCUUUAAAUGGUGAAUAAAUAGGCAAAUUAUACUUAUUAAUCAUAUGAGCUUACUAAGCUAUAAAGCUUACUCUGUUUAUUUUUUCGUGUUUUAUAGUGAUUUCAAAGCUAGCUCAGAUUCGGGGAUUGUUGGAGACCUUAUCACACUAUCAAACUAUCAUUUUGGUACUUUUGAAUCUAUUUUUUUGGAAUAUAUUGCAUGUAUAGGAACUUUGGUCACUCUGGUUUAUGAGUUGAUGAUGAAUUUAGCAAUUAGAAUUGGCUUGUAAAUGUCUAAAUUUUGGUCUUGUAUAUAGCCAUGAAAGUUGGCUUAUUUGGUUGGUUUGGUUAUGUAUAUAUAUUUAUGUGUGCAUAUGGCUUAUGUUUUGUGAUUGAGGUUGGCUUUGUGAUGCUUAUUGUUAGUAGGUAUUGUGGUUGUCAAAUGGUUGAUAUUAGAGAAAAUAUAUGCUUGUAAAUUUAAGCAUAAUGAUGCAUGUUUGGAAAUGUUUACUUAGUUGAAUUGUAUAUGUGAAUUAGGUAUAAUGUAAUGACCCAUUUUAUGACUUGUGUAGAUUGUGGAUAACUGAAUUGAGUUGGCAUGAUUUAGGCUUUAUUUAGUUGGUUUGAAUGCCUAUAUAUGCUAAGUUUUGGUGUCAUUUGGUUUGGUGUAGGUGCAUACAAAUUUGGGUAGCAAAAUGGCUUGGUAAAUAGCCUAUUUUUGUCCACACGGGCAAAGACAUGGGCAUGUGUCUCAGUCGUGUAUGAUACACGGUCAGGUUGCACGGCCUUGUGUCCCUUGGUGUUGAAUUAAAAACCAAGUCAGUAUGCUCCACACGGCCUAGCACACAGUGUGUGAUUGGCCGUGUGGCUUAAGUCAGUAUACCCUACAGAUUGGAACGACCUAGCACACGGCCUAGCACACGGGCAUAUGUGGCCAUUUUUUUGGGCAUAUGGGCUAGUCACACGGGUGUGUGUGUUGGCUGUGUGACCCAAGUUAGAGAGUUACACAGGGUCGGACACAGGCUAGGACACGGCCAUGUGCUCCAAUUUCAAAUGUCCACAUGGCCUGUGACACUGGCGUGUCUUUGGCCGUGUGAGACACACGGCCGGGCCACACGGUAUGUGUCCCCUAUUUUUGGAAAUUUUUUUUAAGUGUUUGAGAAGUUUCUAAAGUUAUCGGUUUAGUCCUGAACCACUCUGAAUGCAUAUUUUGGGCCUCAUAGGCUCGUAUUAGGGACGAUAUGAAUGUUGUUGAUUGAUGACUAUAUGAAAUUUGAAAAUGUAUGUAAAAUGUAUGUGUGAUUGUAUGAUAUGUUCAGUAAUGCUCCGUAACCCUAUUUUAAUUGUAUGAUAUGUCCGGUAAUGCUCCGUAACCCUAUUUUGGCAUUGAAUACGGGUGAAGGGUGUUACACCUACAGAUUCAGAAGGUUACCUUGUCAAAUCAUUUACUUAACAUAGAGUUUGCAAAGCACGAAGUCAUAUGGAGCUCACCAUAUAGAGCUAACAUAUCACUGUUCAUAAAAAUACAUAUUUGAAUACAUUCAUCAAACAAAGUUAUAGAAAAGACUUACUCUCAAAAAUUAGGUCAAAACCCUAAGCUCCUAAUUAACAUUAUGAUCCACAAUACAAGUGGCGAUGCUUGAACACUCACCAAUUUGCUGAGAACUUAGGGAAGCUUAGCUUUUCCCUUAUCUCUACUUGUAGACAGUUUUGUUUGGGUUCGCAAUUGUAACAUCCUGAAGUAGAGCUGAGAAUUAUUAAGCCAGAUGAGCUGGGUUCGCCAAGGAGUUUGGCAAACAGGAAAUUGCCCAAGAGUGUGACGAAUAGGUACUCGUCAAUAAGAUCAUUGAAUAAGGGUUUGCCAGAGGAAAUGAUAAGCAUGUAUACGACAUUAGAUUUGCGAAUAGGUGUGUAAGAACCCAUUUUUCAGUGGUUUUUGACGAGUAAGGUUGUAAAAUUAGUAUUUAAAUUAUACGAGUCAAUAAUAAUUUUUAUAUUGAAUUUUUAUUUAUUGAAUUUUAAUCAGUUGAAUUAAUUGUUAGUAUAAGGGGUUCAGUCCAAAAUCAAGUGGUUUUUGAAAAUGAGGUAUUGGGACCCAUGUCCGUAACUUAAACUUGUAAAUAUUUUUAUUAAAUGUUUAUAGAGUCGUAUUAUAGGGGAAUUGAGGUUUGGUCCAAUAAUUUUGACAAUUGGUUCUUAAUUAAGGUAAAAGGAUUAAAUUGUAAAAUGGUAAAAGUUAAUCGCUAUAGAUUUAAAUUAGUAAAGAGACCAAAAUCAUGAUUAAACCAUGAUAAAAAAAGUCCAAGAAGUGGUGGAUAUGAUUAAUCCACUAGCUUUUAGGCUAUUUGCUCGUUUAGUCCUAAGUAGUUUAGGGUUAAAUUGAAAUUAAGCUUGUUUAGUUAAAAUUGUAAAAUAAUUGAAGGACCAAUUAUGCAGUUAAACCCCUUUAGAUGGUAAUUAUACCAUAUUCUCAUUUGAUGGACAAAUAUGGACAUGUUUUAUUUAUUUUUAUAAGUCAUAAUGUAAAGGUUAAAAUUGUAAAUUAAGUAAAUAAAAGGUUAAAUUAAAAGAAUACUAAAUUAGGUUAUCAUCUUCCAUUCUUUUCUUAUGGAAAAAAAAUGGCCAUUUUUAUGGGAGAAGAAAGUUUUGGUCAAGCUAGGGUUAUGGUAUGUAAGUGAUCCUUUAUCUUGUUUUUAGUAAUUUUAUGUUUUUGAGCUCGUAUUAGCUUGAUUUAGCUAACCUGGAGAAUAAUUUGUAAAACUGUUAAAUGUUAUAGAUAUUCCAUUGAUGAGUUUGAGUUGUUCUUGAAGUUUUAUGGUAGAUUAUUAAGCUUGGUUGUUAAAUAGGAUUAUUUUGUAAAGUAGUUUUUAGUAAUUUUAAUGUUUAAGGACUAAAAUGUUACAGUGAUAAAAUUACAAGGAAUUGAUGUGAAAUAACAGAAAAUAUGUGUUGUCGUAGAGUGCUAUACAAUUCAACUGAACUUAGUUUUAGUUAAAAUUGGUUAAAUUGCAAGUUUUGAGCUUAGCGACUAAAUUGCAUAAAAGUAAAAUGUUGGGGGUGAUUUUGUAAAAUUGUCUAAGAAGGCUUAAUUACAUAAAAUGAGUUAAUUUCACUAUUGGAAUUAGUUAAUUGAUUGAAAUUAUUUAUCUAGAUCAAGAAUGGGUUGAAAAUCGAGGCAUAGAAAAGUUGAAUAGUCUUUGUACCUUUGUCAUCGUUGUAGUUUAGUCUGGUAAGUUCGUUUGGUUCGAUUUUAAUACAUUUUAAAUGUAUAUUAUAUGAACUUAAUUGUACAAUGAUGGAUAAUACUUAUGCAUGUAUUUGGGAAUGAAAGUAAUGAAUUGAUACGGUAUCGAUCACUGAUUGGAAUAUUCUGAGCCGAUGAAUAUAGGAUAGAGUAAGAUUGGCAUGCCAAUAGGUUGUUUUGCGUAUUGGACGAGAUUGGUAUGAGAUGUGAUGGUGAUUUUUGUAUAUCCUCUAUUCAUUGAAUAUACUGAGGUCCUGCAUACGUUGUAGAUUAUCUUGUUUUAUUAGAAUGUUUUUCUAGUGUGUUAUAGGGGCAGAUGUUAGCCUACGGGCUAGACACUUAGUGCCGAGGUGUAUUAUUGAUUGGAUUGGCUCGUAUGAGUGUCUGGUGUGUUCUGGAUGGUUAAACGUGUACUCCUAUCCAUAUAACAUUCACCGAGCAAUGUUUUAUUGAUCAUUGAGUGUUAUUUAAAUGUGAAAUUGAUUUGUAUUAUUGUUUGAACAUUACUCACUUGUUUUGAGUUAUGAUUGACAGGAACUCUAUUAGUAACCUUGUUAUUUGAAUUAUUAUUUUAAUUCAAUAAACUUUAUUAUUUAAUCUAUGAACUUACUAAGCUUUAUGUAAGCUUACUCCUGUCCUUGUCUUUUUCUUUGUAGAUUAUAUUUUUUUUUGAAAAUCAGGAGAUCGAAUCAACUCGAAGAAUCACACUAUUCGAGAACCUUUUGGUAUACUUUGAGUGUGACCUUGGCUUAUAGGCAUGUAAUAGGCUAAUGGUGGAUGUUUUGUGAUAGUCUUAAGCAUAUAUGUGGUAGCUUGAUGUACUUGUAAUAUUGUUGUGUCAAGUAGCUAUUUGCGGCAUGUAUGCUUAAUUCUAGUGAAGGCAUGAGUGGUUGAUGCUAAUCAAGCAUGAAUUGGUAAGUUAUUUUAUUUGAUGUGGUAUGCAUGGAUGGCUUGAAAUUUUACCUUGAUAAUUUUUUAUUAUGUGAUUGAAAUAUUGUGUCAAUGGUGGCACAUUGGUUAGACACAUAGGAUGGUCGAUUAACUUGAUUUGAGUGGUUUAAAAUGCAUUCCAAAUUCUUAUGAACAUGUGUGUAAGUGUAUAAUUAGGCACCUAAGCAAUUGGAUGUGAAAUGGGCAAGUUUUGGGUUAUUUUUGGCACACAUGGGUUAGGAUACGGGCUAUCACACUGUCGUGUGUAACACACGAGUGUAUGCCCCAAACGUGUUAGGUGUAGGGUUCACACAAGCUGACACAUGACCUGCGACACGGCUGUGUAACCCAAGUCAAUGAGUUACAUGGGUGGACACAUGAGUGAGCACACGGGCAUGUGGGAUAGCCAGAUGGCCCUGGUUGGAGCCACACAAUCUGGGCUAUAACAGCCCAUUUUUCUGUAAAAUCGUAACAGUGGUUUUGAGACCACAAAUCUGAUCCGAAAAUAAAGUUGAUUUUUAUUUUAUAAUAUGGUCUGUUUUAUGAUAGACAUGUUGUGUGAAAAUUUUGAUUCGAAAAUUUUAUCGAUUAAGUGUUUAAUUACGAGGACUAAAUCGCAUAAAUGAAAAAGUUGAAUUCUAGUAGCUGUAAGGAUUAAAUAGCUAUGGAAUUCAAAACUAGAGGUCCUUAUAUGGUAAUUAGACCAUUGAAGAAAACUAUGUUGUUUUUUGGUGUCUCAUCCAUGGAAAAAUUAGAAAAGAAUAGGGACUAAAUUGGAAAUUAAAAUAUUUAAUUAAUUAAAAAGAUGAUAAAAGAUACCAUCUUAUUAUUUUUGUCAUCUUCAACCCCAAAAUUAUAUGGAAACCCUAGGAGAGAGAGAAGAAACUUUCAAGGCUUAAUUGGGUAAGUUUCAUUGUCCCGUUUUUAGUAAUUUUGAUAUUUUUGAAACCGGAAUAGCUUAAACUAUCUAUUUUGGGGGAUUAAUUUAAAAAGUUAUCAAAGUAAGGAAAAUGGGUCAUGGAUGUAUAUGCUGAAAAUUAGAAAUUUAAGGUAGAAAAUGAAAGGUUGUUGAUAAAUCAACAACUUUUACAAAGUGAUUUUUGAUGAAAACAUGAUUUAGGGACUAAAAUGUAAACUUGUGAAAUUGAAAAAAAAUGUUGAAUUUUUAUGAAUACAUGUGCUGUAAAUUUUUUUAUGGGAUUUUUGGUUAGGCUUGGAAUAGGGAGUAAAUUGCAUAAGUUUCAUUUUCCGAGCCUAGGGAUGAAAUUAGAAUUUAUGGAAAAGUUAGGGGCAAAAUGGUAAUUUUUCCUAGGGCGUAAAUUGAGUUCAAAUAAUUAUGAAAUAUGAGAAAUUGAUGAUUGAAGCUAUUUAUAUAGAUCUGGACAACACAAAUUCAAGGUUAGACCGAGGAAAAGAAAAUGUUUCGAAUUAGUAGAUUUUAUAUGCGAACAAGUGUUAAUUGAAUGUUAUGCUUGUAUGUAAUGUGACUUACAUUGAAAUGCAUUACUUGAAUGCUAUAAUGGACAAUCUAAUGCAUGCUUGAAAUGGUGAAAAAGGGGUUAAGUCCCGAUUAAAUAUUGAAUUUCGAUGAAUAUAUAUGCUUCUCGAAAUGGAUGAGGUCCUGCAUUUGUUGCGGACGGGAUUUAACUCGGACGAGUAUUCCUAUUGACCUCAUUAUAGAAAUGAUUUAGCUCGGACGAGUAAUCCUGAUAUAAUACUUCUCGACUAUACAUUAUGAUUUGGGUUUAGCCUGGACUGGUAAUUCUAAUUUAGCUCUUCUAAGCAUACGUUAUAUAAAGGAUUUAGCCUGGACUGGUAAUCCUAUUAUACGAUAUGUAGCUCGAGAGUGUGUUCCUUAAUUAAAUGCCCUAAUGGGUACUCUUGAAUAUGAAUUGAUGAAUUAUUAAAUCGUAUACUUUGGGUGUACUACUUGAACAUCCAUCGGAAUUUCAAUGAUUCAAUGGACACGACUCUUGACAUGGUAUGAGAAUUUUUGAGAUGAAAUGAUAAUGACUUGAAAGAAUAUUGCAUGAUGAGCUCAUCUAUGUUUACUUGAUUGAUAUGAAGAUUUUGGUGACUAACAUAUUUGAUUGAAUGCAUGUGGUUAGGCAAUUUUGCUAAUGGAUGGAAAAACAUGAUAUUGUAUGCUUAGGUUUAAUAAACAGGAUUGGUAAGUUUAGUUUCCGUUAUACGAACUUACUAAGCAUGUAAUGCUUACUCCAUUUUAUUUUUCCCUAUUUUAUAGUACUCGAAAGCUCGCGAAGGUUGGAGAUCAUUGGAGCAUCAUCACACUAUCCACUAGCUUAUUUUGGGUUUACAUAUAGUAGAAUCAUUUUGGUAUAAUGGCAUGUAUAGGACAACUUGACCAUUAGUGGCUUGAAAAUGAUGUUUUUAAUCUAGCCAUUGGAAUGGCUAGUAAUUGUUGUUUUGAUAUACUUGUAAUGUCAUGCAAUGGUAGCUAAAUAUAUGUUAAGUGGUUGUUCAAAUUAUGCCUAACAUAUGGAAUAUACCGAUGUAAGAUUAUAAACAUAUAUGCAUGUAAUGAUAUGCCUUGUUGAAUGGUGGAAUUUUCUUAAUUUGAAUAUUUGAAUUGGUUGGUAUUUGGAUGUGUGUUUUAGUGCAGGAAAAUAGUAAAAUUGGGUGACAAAUGAGGCUAGGAAAUGGAUUUAUUUUGUCCACAUGGGCAGAUACAUAGGCGUGUGUCUAGACCGUGUGUGACACAUGGCUUGGUAACAUGGGCGUGUAGUUAGGCCUUGUGUCCCUUGCACCUUAAUUUUGAGAAACAAAAUGCUCAGAAUUGAGCACACGGGCAAAGACACGGACGUGUGUCUCAGUCGUGUGUGCUACACGGCCUAGAACACGAGUGUGUGUCUUGGCCGUGUGAAACCUGCACCUAAUUUCAAAUUAAAUUAAUUAACCACAUGGCCUAGCACAAGGGCGUAUGGCAUGGACGUGUGUACAAGUCAGAGAGUUACAUGGGGUCGAACACGGCCUAUAGUACGGGCGUGUCCCAGGGUCACACGGGCGUCUUCCUUGGACCACACGGGUGUGUGAGCCCUGCAACUUGGAAAAUUGUUGUAAUUUCACGAAAAAUUCUUAGAGCUCCUGAUUAAGUCCCAACUCGAUUCUAAUGCUUAUAUUGGGCCUCGAGGGUCUAAUUAAGGAACGUUUUGUAUGAUCUCAGUUAAUAAAUAGUAAUUUACAUAAAUUAUUGUAAAAUGUUCUGAAUGUUUUGGUAAUACUUUAAAACCCUAUUCCGAUGACGGAUACAGGUUAGGGGUGUUACAUGGGCUCUAUCACCCAACUGUGUGACUCCUAUUUUCAAACUUUUCAUAUUUGCCCCAAAUCUUUUGAUUUGUAUCAAAUUGGUCCCUAAUUGUUCCAAAACUAUUUUUGAGGCCUUAUAGCUUGGAUUUAAGGCCCAUAAAUGUUUGUUUCACUUUAAUUUAAAUGUAAUGAAAAUUUGAUAAUUAAAUUGUAAAAUUGAUACUUUGUGAUACUGAAUGUUCUGAAUUGUACACUAAUACUCUGUAACCUUAAUCCAAUGACAAAGACGGGUUAGGAGUGUGAUAAGGUGUAUGACCAGCAAGUUCGAUGAGCUAAAGUAUGCUAAUAAGCUUGGCUAGUAGGAGUUUUCUAGAAGGCUGAGUGAGCUGGAGUAUGCUAAAGAAUUUAAGGAACUUAGAUUGCUAGUAGGCUUGGCAAAACGGGGAUCACCAGUGGGUCAGUGAACUACAAUUUUUGGCUAUGAGUCAUAAGUAAGAAAAGUCAAAGUAGAGUCAUGCCUCGGUUAGGAAAGUUAGCUUGCUUUUCUCUUUGCAACACUAUCCAUGCAUGUAAUUAAAUUUUACUUCUAUUACGAUUAGAGUAUCAUAAGGACAUUAGGACACGUAGAGCCUAUAAUGUCCUUUCCAAUAAGGGAAUUUCAUUUGCUAUUCUCCUAAAUUUACUAUCAAUCAUUCUAUCGGUAAGUCCUAAGAUCCCAGCACUUAGAAAUCAAGAACCAUCAACAAGAAAAGUCAAGGGAAUAACAAAGCUUGUGAAUAAAGCCAAAAUACACUUCGCACUUAAGGGGGGUAACCUUGUGAACUGGUGAAGGGAUGAAAAUUAUUAUGGUUGGUGAGCAAACUCAAUUCUUGUCCAAUAUGGUCUUGGCAAUUAGGGUAGAGAAGUUGAUAAGGAAAGUCUGCGAAGCCUACCUUGCUUAUGUGGUGGGUUCACCAAGUAAACCGAUAGGAGUUUUCAACAUUCGCACGGUGAAAGACAAUCCUGAUGUAUUUCCAGAAGAGCAACUUGGAAUACCCCCAGGCUGCAAAAUGGAAUCCUCCAUUGAGUUAUACCUAGAUAGUUCGCCAAUGUCCAUUACACCUUAUCGAAUGGCACCAAAAGAGAUUAAAGAAAUGAAAAUCAAACUAUAAGAGUUGCUCGAUAGGGGUUUCAUUUGACCAAGUGUGUCGCCGUGGGGAUCACCAGUAUUGUUUGUAAAGAAGAAAAAUGAGAACUUCAGAAUCUGUAUUGACUAUAGAUUGUUGAAUAAAUUGACUACUUGUUCAAUUAGCUGCAAGGUGCCACGGUAUUUCCAAAGAUAGUCUUAGAAUCAUGGUACUACUAGCUUAAGGUUAAGGAAGCAAAUGUUUAGAAGAUAGCUUUUUACACAAGGUAUGGGCAUUAGGAAUUCCUAGUUAUGCUCUUUAAAUUGAAAAAUGCACCUACUGCAUUCAUGGACUUAAUGAAUUGAGUGUUCCACAUGUAUUUGGACUAGUGUGUCAUGGUUUUCAUAGACGAUAUCCUGACGUACUUGCAAAUCGAUGAAGAACAUGAUGUUCACUUGCAAACUGUGUUACAAAUUUUACGUGAGAAGAAACUAUUUGUGAAGUUCAACAAAUGUGUAUUUUGGUUAAAGGAAGUAGCCUUUUUGGGUCUUGUGGUCUCAGUAGAGGGAGUUUGUGUUGACCCAAAGAAGAUUGAGGAAAUUCUAGAGUGGAGAUCUCUAAGAAGCGUCACAAAGGUACAAAGCCUUUUGGGGCUCGCAGGUAACUAUAACAAAUUUGUUGAUAGAUUCACCACUACCGUGACACCCUUUACAAAGUUAUCACAAAAAAUAUGAGGAGUUCGCAUGGAUGGAAGAAAGAAGAAAAAGCUUCGAAAGACUUAAGGUGAUACUCACUAAAGCACAUGAGUUGGUUCAACCAGAACUUGGGAAAGACAUUUUAGUCUAUAGUGACGCAUCACACUUGGGUUUUGGUUGCGUGUUGGUGGAGGAAGGAAGGGUCGUUACUUAUGACCAAACAGUUGAAGCCUCAUGAACGAAACUACCCAAUGCAUGAUCUGGAGUUAGAAGUAGUGAUGUUCAUACUAAAGAUUUGGUGACACUACUUGUAUGGCGAAUAGUGUACUAUCUAUACUGACCAUAAGAUCCUUAAGUACUUACUUACAUAGAAAGAACUAAACUUAAGACAAAGGAGGUAGAUAGAGCUACUAAAAGACUAAGAUCGCGUGAUAAAAUAUUUCCCAGAAAAUGUGAACGCGGUAGUAGAUGCAUUAAUUAGAAAAUUAGUGAGUGAACUGCGAGCUCUGUUUGUUCGUUUGAGUGUGACAUAUAAUGCGUGACUGCUUGUAGAAUUAUAGGUGAAACCAACCCUUUUUGCAGUAAAUAAAGGAAAAGCCACCCUCAUAUGAGGAUUUAGUGAAGAGGGUUCGCUAAGUGGAACAAAGAGUUCAGCGGGACUUCGCACUGAAUAAAGAAGGGAUACUUUAUUUCCUAAAAAGAUUGUACGUGCCCUGUGAUGAAGAACUUCGAUAUGCGAUCCUUAUAGAAGCUCACAAAUGCCUUUACGCGUUGCAGCCAUAGAGCAAUAAGAUAUUCCAUGACCUUUGUGAAUUGUAUUGGUGGCCUAGCUUGAAGCGAGUUAUUACGAACUAUGUGGAAAAGUGUUUUAUUUUUCAAAUGGUGAAGGCUGGGCAUCAGUAUCUUUCAGGAUUACUACAACCAAUCAAAAUUCAAGAGUGGAAAUGGCAAAGGAUCACCAUGGUCUUUAUGUCAAGCUUGUGACUAACCUCGACAAAAAAAGAUGCAAUAUGGGUGAUUGUGGAUCACCUCACUAAAAUUUUGCACUUCUUUGAAGUCCACACCACUUAUACUCUACAAAAUCUGGUGGAGUUAUACAUCACAAAAAUAGUACGACUUUAUGGUCUGCUCGUUUUCAUUAUUGCCGAUCAAGAUCCACGAUUCAUAUUGAGAUUUUGGAAAAUUUUACAAGAACCCUUGGGUUCGAAAUUGAAUUUCUGUACAGCUUAUCAUCCAUAGAUAGAUGAUCAAUAAGAGAGGGUGAUCUAAGUACUAGAAGACAUGCAACGAAGCCAUGUGGUGGAAUUUGCAAGAAGUUGGGAAUGAUAUCCGCCUUUGGCAGAGUUCGCAUAUAACAACAGUUACUAGGUGUUGGUUGCAUAGCUGAUAUGCAAGUCGUGGAAGUGCAUACAUUGAGCAAGUAAUACAGUGAUGAGUGAUAUUGUCUCCAUGGGGAUUAGAUAGGUAUAAUUUGGUUGAGUUAUUAUAGUCAAGUUUGAUUAAUGCUAAAGCAAAAUAAGAAUAAGAAUGCAAUGGAAAAGAAUGAGAGAAUGGUGAUGUAUAAAAUGUUCAAAACAAGUAAACAGAAUAAGAAUGCCACGAAAAAAUCACUACAAAAAAGGCUUGAGGAACUACAAUGUUGAUUAGGACAGUUGGGAUUACUAAUGGAUCAACCUUAACUUCCUAUUAAUGCCAUAACAAAGUCGUGAAUAUUCUACUAUUUGAUAAGUUUCUACAGUAGUUUGCUUCUCUCGAGAGCAAGAUCUUGGGUUACCUCCCUUAGGGCACUAUGUGUUUAUAGGCUUUGAGUUCAGAUACCACUAAUAUUUCCUACCUUUUUUUGCACAAGGCAAGGCUCUAUGUCUAGAUGUUGCCAUGAAUAAGUGAUUAAUCAUUCACUCAUAUUACCCAACACUUAUCCAGGUAACCCAAACUUAUCGGUAUUAAGUUUUCUUUAUAAUCUUGUCACACAUUUGUUAAUGUACAACCUGCAUAUAACAUGAUAUGCCAUUGAAUAAAAUAGUAGAACAAAGCAAACUUAAACUUUAAACAUUAAUAGAAAUAAAGAUUUCAUCAAAGUAAUCCCAAGCCUAAGAGAUUUAGCUUAUGGUUGGUAAAAUCAAUUUUGAGUUUAAUACGAUAACCAACAUCAUCAAUAGCUGAUAUGCUUUAAAGAAAAGCAUGAUAAGAAACAAAAGAUAAAAUCUAAGAUUACAACUUUCGCCUAUCCAAAUCUCAAAAUAAGCAAUGCAAUGUCUUGCAGUUGCCCAAGAUGGUUAUAGUUGUUAUCUCUUUCUUUUGCUGCCCUUGUUCUUGGCUCCUACCUAAUAUUUACUAUUUCAUCCAAGGCUACUGUCCUAGUCUGUUUUUGGGUGCUCAAGGUUGCUCUGUUUCAUCUAAAGGCUCCCCUUAAUUAGGGUUCCCUGCUUGGCUUUUAUAAGUUUCACCUUCUAGGGUAGGUCUAUCAACGCAUGAUCCUUCCUCUAUUUGCCAAGUAGAUAUAUGUGUGGGGCCAAUAGUGGUACGCGUUAAGUGUUAGCUAGGUGUCUUUUCGGCAUUGACAUGACAUUUUUGUGGGCACUAUCCGUACUUUUCCAUGAAAAACUUUCAAACUUUGCUAUACACUCUACACUAACCAAACAAUAGCCAAACAAAUCUUUCCCACAAGCGGUUAAAAGUAACAUGUAAUCACAAUUAAGCACAAUCAAGCUCUUUAUUACAAUGUUUUAAAAGUGCCAAUGCAAUAUCUUAAAAUGGAAUUAACAACACUCAAGUACAAGUAAUUAACUAAGCCUAAGGGCAUGAAAUAUAACUCCUUUCAAGAGUUAUCACCAAGAAAUUAUCCAAAUGGCACCCUUCGAGGCAUUGUAUGGAAGGAAGUGUUGAACAUCUUUGUGUUGGGUAGAAUUAUAUGAGAAAUGAAUGGCAAGACUAGAGCUAAUUCAUGAAAUAGAAUAUAAGGUGAGAGUGAUAUGCAACAGACUGAAUGUUUUUUUAGACAGACAAAAGUCUUACACCAAUUUGAAAUGACGAGACAUAGAGUACCUGAUACGAACUUGAUGUCAUAAUGUGAUUCGAGUCGUUUGUUUGCUCGAUCGUAAAAAUUAAGUAAGACUUGAGUUGUUUUCAAAUGGGCUAGAAAAGGUUGAAAGAUAGGUUCAAAAUAAAGGGUUAAAGGAUAGUUGUGAUGAUAGAUAGGUGAAUUCAGCUAAGGCCAAGAUUGAACCAACAAUAUAGGUAAAGGUUGACCCGAAUCUUAAAUAGCACUUAGGUGAAAUUAGUUUGGAAAGCUAAAGAACCUUGACCUACUAUCUAUGAUAGAUAGGAACCAGAGGUAUAGAUGAAUGCCACACUUAAGCAAGUGAUAAGUUCAAAGAAAAGACAAGAUUGACACUACAAGACUUGUCUUGAUAAGCCAAUUCAGUCUAGAGAGAACAAUGAGAGUUGAACACACACAAGAAGUAUAAUAUUCAUAAAAUGAGCAAAAGUCCUUACAACAUAGAAUGAACAAAGUAUUUAUAGGCUGAGCUAGCUCCAGCCAAAUGGACAACUUCUAUUCAGCUCAAUUAAGCUAUUAAUGAACUAACUUAACUCCAAAUAUGAUUAACAUGACUUUUAACAACUCCUAAACCGAGGUGACUCUAAUAGCUUAGGCUAUUUACAUUUCCAAUCAGCUUAAUUGAAUACACUUAAUGAGCUGAGCUGAAUCUUGCUAAUUAUUGAUAAUCCAAAGAGUUAUGAGCUCCUUUAAUCCUCUCUUAGGAAGCUGAAUAUGCAGCAGCCUUUUAAUUUAAGUUGUGACGCACAAACAGCCUAAAUGGUGUGAACACAAGAACUCAAUCAGCCUUCAAGUGUGAAUAUAUGAAUUUAAACAACCUCUAAGGUGUGAAAUUAGUUGCAAACUGAAUGGUUUAGUGUGAAUGUGCUUUUGUCCAUUGAUCUCCAUGAAUAAGCACUUGGAGAAGAGUAAUUAGUAGCUUGGUUUUUAAUUCAGCUCCAAAUGCUUUAAUUUCUUUUAAUGUCAUCCGAUGCAUCUAGCUAGCUGAUUCAGCUGGUGUGAACACUUACAAGCACCAAUAAGUUCACUUAAGGACACAUUCAAUACCUAUUUAAAUUGUCUAAGCUUAUGACACAUUAAGUAGCUAUAUUAACUAGAACACAUUAAAUAAACUUAAGACAUAUUAAAUGGUUGUACUAAUUAGAACACAUUAAUUAACUUAAGACAUAUUAAUUACCGAAUCUAAUUAGAACAUAUUAAAUAGACUCAAGGCAUAUUAAAUACUUAAACUAAAAAUAACUAAACAUUAUUAAUGUUUAUUCUAGCAAAUGAUUAAUAAAAAAAUGAAAGCUAAAAUUCAGCUAGUUCAUGAAUGAUCAAUAUACCCCACGAUGGUAUCUCCCCAUAUUCGGUUAAGGUAGCUUGCAAUGGCUUCUUUGAACUUCUUGGCCCUUGCUCGAGUAAUUGGCCCCAAAGGUAGUUCAAUGGGUUUAGUAGCUAGCUCCUUGGCCAUGCUUGCAUCAGUACCAAAAAGGUGAGCAAGUAUCGGUCCUUACAAGGUGGUUGAAAGGAUUGGUCAGUAGCCUACUGACUUAAGCUGCCACAAGAACUAGAGUAAAUCCAUGAUAAACAUCAAGUGUUCAUGUUAAGGAAGUAUCGCGCGAACCCUUCCCACAUUGUUUCAGAAGAUGAAAUUGACGUGUGACCUGGUCUUACUUAUGAUGAAGGGCCCAUGGAAAUCUUAGCUCAUGAAGAAAAGACUCUGUGAAAUAAGAUGAUACCUCUAGUUAAAGUGUUAUGGUGAAAUCACCAAGACCAACGAAACCACUUGGGAAAUAGUGGAAGCCAUGAAUUUCAAGGACAAAAUUUCUUAAGAAAGGGAGAGUUGUAACAUCCCGAAGUAGGGCCUAGAAUUAUAGGGCCAAGUGAGCUGGGUUCACCAAAGAGUUUGGCGAAUAAAAAAUCGCCCAAGGGUGUGAUGAAUAGGUACUUGUUAAUAAGAAUGGUGAACAAGGGUUCGCUAGAGAACAUGAUAAGCAUGUAUACGCCAGUAGAUUGGCGAACAAGUUAAGACCAACAAGUUCAGCAAGCUAAAGUACACCGAUAAGCUUGGCAAGUAGGAGUUCUUUAGAAGGCUUGGUGAGCUGGAGUACGCUAAAGAAUUUAGUGAACUUAGAUUGCUAGCAGGCUUGGUGAAACAGGGAUUGCCAAUGGGCCGGAGAACUAUAGUUUUGGGUUGUGAGUUAAAAAUAAGAAUGGUAAAAGUAGAGUCGUGCCUCAGUUAGGAAUGUUAGCUUACUUUUCUCUUUGCAACACUAUCCAUGCAUGUAGCUCAAUCUUACUUCUAUUAAAAUUAGAGUAUCUUAAGGACAUUAUUACACUUAGAACCUAUAAUUAAGCUAUUUCAAUUAAGGGAAUUACAUAUUAUUUUCUCCUAAAUUUACCGUCGAUUGUUCUGUCAGCCAGUCCUAAAAGCCCAACAUUUAGGAAUCAAAAACCAUCUUUAAGUAAAGUCAAAGGAAUAGCCAAACUUGUCUAAGUCUUCAAGAAAAUUGGUGAUUGUUUAGGGAUCACCACUUGUAUGUACGACCUAUAAUGUUAAUUAGGAGCUUAGGGUUUGACCUAAGUUUCAGGAAGUAAGUCUUUUCUAUUACUUCAUUUUACGAAAGUAUUUCAAUAUGUGAUCUCAUGAAUAGUGACAUGCGAGUUCUAUGUGACGAGCUCUACAUGAUUAUGUGUUUUGUGAGCUCUAUGUUAAGUAAAUGUUUUAAACUAAAUGUAAUGCCCUCAACUCGAUCUGAUUUGUUAGAUCGAGAUCUCGUGUGUUACAUUUCCUAUUAUAGACUUAUUUAUAUCUAAACGUUUAAACUUUCAACAAAAAACAUCUUAUUUAAUAGGACUACUUAGCUAGAUCACGUCUGGACGUACAGUAACUAAUUAUAAAUAUUAAACAUGCCUAUUCAUUAAACGAGGAUUUACAAGUAUAUAUAUCGCACUUAUUUGAAGAACACAUUCUAUUUUCACUACAAGGCUUCCAAAUAGAUUGCCUAGCCCAUUCAGAGUGUUUCUGUCAAAUUUGAUCACGUCACCUCAAGCUCACUCUGUAUGCAUAACAACCCAUCUCGCCAUUCCCCUGUCGUAGUCCCACCUGACAUAGCCUAAAAUAAGUUUACAUGUGUCAUAAAAGACACAAAGUUAAGUUCAUGAAAACUUAGUGAGCAAAUCCUCCUUUACCUGAUUCAUACUUGAAAAUUCCAUAUUCAUAUCCUUUGCUCUUCUCCUUCCUUGACUUAGGCGGUUACAUCCAUAAUAUUCCAUUCAUUGCAUCGUUGGUGUCAUUCCUCAUUCUGAGAUCAUAACUUACUAUUCCUAUCAUCAUUACCUUAUUCAAAUUCUUCAUUUUGUUUUUUCAUGAUUUCUUAACCAUUCAUAUUACAGAGGGCCUUACAGGCAGAAGACCUUGGGUUCGCACUGACGUUGGCACACUGUAGUCUCGUUGUUCUUACCAUGUUACUAUACUGGGUUAGCCAUAAUAGUUCUCAGGGAGACUUUCUUUCAGAGUUCACCAUACUUAUCGUUCCUUUAAGAGACUUCAUAUGCCAUUUUAUUAGAGUUCACCAUGGGUUUCUUUCUUUUUGUUCAGAGUCCACUAUAGAGGCAUUUCUUUCAAAUGGUUGACACAAGUGUCAUUCUUUAGAUGGCGCCAUGAAGGCAUUCCAUUUUAGCGAUAGCUACAAAGGUUUCCUUAUCCAAAGAUUGCCAUAAUGGCUUCAUUAUCCAGAGAUUUCAACAAAGGCUUCCUUAUCUAGAGAUUUCCAUAAUGGCGUCCUUUUCAUUAAGUAGUCGCCACAAAUACUUUCCAUUCAGAGUCUUGCCACAAAGGCAUCAUUUAAGAGGUUCACCGCAAAGGCUUACCUUUCCAAAUUUUUUCUACAAAAGCUAUCCUUUAAUAGGUUCACCACAAAGGCUUGCCUUUCUAGAGUUUUGCAACAAAGGUUGUCCUUUAGUAGGUCCGCCACAAAGGCUUGCCUUUCCAAAGUUUUUCCACAAAGGAUUUUUUUCUCCUAGUGAUUUAGGUGAUAGGGAUUUGCCUAGACUCACACUUAAUAAGGUUUGCCCCUCAUCAUCCUGGGACACAUAGAGAACUUAACCUUAAAUUUUUUCCAUAUGAUGCCAUAACCCACUAGUUACGAUCUUACACAAUAUGAUCUUCUUCCAAUAUGAUGUCAUAACCCACCAGUUACAGUAUUACAUGAUAUCAUUUUCUUUAGUGCCAUGGUCAUGGACUUGUCCUUUCAAAGAUUUGUGAUUUUGUCCUAACAGAUCAUGCAUAUGGAUAUGGACAUGGACAUGGACACAGACUCAUGAUGCAUCCACUCACUCAUGAUAGACAUUCUUAUGCUUACCAGACACACAUACACUUCCUAUCAGACUCGUUCUUCUUACUUUCAGACAUAAACACGUCAUAGUCAUUCAGUUUCAUAAGUCUUACAUCUCUUAUUAGAUUCGUCACAUCAUGGUUUACUAGUUUCAAUCUCAUGCUUUGGCCGCUUAGCAUAGAAGUUUCUAGAUAAGCAUAAUACACAUGCGAUAGUCAAUCUAGGGACUCAUCUUACUUUCAUGAACAAAAAAUUGAUCCCCAAGUUUGCACAUCCUUUUGCGGACCCUUAAAAGUCACUAUUUGUAAGAUAUUGGAAUAUUAUCAAAUCUCACCCAUAUUGUUAGCAUAAAACAUUCACCAUGUAAGGCCUUCUUUUUCUUUCCAUUUGUGUACAUAAUUAAAAUCAUUCAUGCAAAAACAACACGUGAGUCCAAAAUACUUACCCUAUGUGAGAUAAAACCUCAUACAUGAUUAGCGAGAAACCCCUGAUUAGCUUCUAGAGCAAGGCAACAAUGGUUUUAUUUUUGAAUAGCAGGAAGAAGAUGUAACAAUUCGUUUUUCAGUGGUGUCAGAAACAGUGGUUUUAGGACCACCAAAUUUGACAAGUAAGUUUGUAUAUAUUGUUAUUUAAUAUUUAUGAGUCAAACAUGGUUUUAAAAAGGUUUGUGAUAUAGUAAUUUUUGUUAUAUAAAUGAUUUAAUAAGUUCAAGUGGUAAGACCCUAAGGUCAAGUAGGUUUAGAAAAUGAGCCGUAAAUAUUUUUAUAAAUAUUUACAAAGUGUCAUUAAGGUGGUAUUAAAGUUUUGUUCAAAAAUUUGAACGUUUCGGUAGUUAUUUAAUUAAAAAAGACUAAAUCGUAAAAUAUGUAAAAUUUGGUCACUAUUUGAUUUGAGUGAUUAAAUGGUUAGUUGAAUAAAGGAAAACGGACUUAAAUGGUAAUUAGACCAUUCAAAGUGUUAGUGGACAAUAAUGGACAUGAAUUUGAUGUUCUAUUUAAUUAUUAACUAAGGUUAAAAUGGUAAUUUGGUAUAUUAAAUUAAAAUAAAAUAAAAACAAAAGGUAAUUGGUUAUCAUCUUUUUAGUUUCUUUUUCAAACAACCGAAUGUCAUGAAGGAUUUAAGCUAAGUUCAGCCUUGGUGGUUUCCUAUUGUAUGGCAUGUGAUUUUGGCUUAAUUUUUAAUAAUUUUUAUAUUUUUGAGAUUGUUGCAAUUAGACCAGCUAGCCCGUAACUUCAAAUUUGAAAUUGUUAAAGAUUUUGAAUGUUGCCAUUAAUGAGCCUCGUGAUUUUAGAUGUUAAAUGAUGAAUUUGAAAUAUUAGUUGUUAUUUAAAAGUAUUCUAUUAAGUGACUUUUGAUGAAUUUGUCAAUUAGGGACUAAAUUAUUAAUAUAGUAAAAAUACAAGGAUUAGUUAUGAAAUUGUUGCAUGAAUGGGCUGUAUUGGAUAGCAUAAGUAUUCAGUCGGGCUUAAUUUUGGGUAAAAAUGGUUAAUUUGAGUGUUUUAGGAUCAAUGACUAAAAUGAAUAAAAUUUAAACUUUAGGGGUAAAUUUGUAAAAAUGUCAAAAAUGACUAAAUUGCAUAAAGUAUAUUAUUUUACGGUCUAAACUAAUAGAUUGAAUGAAAUUAUUAAUUUAUAUCAAGAUCGGGUGGAAAAUUGAGGAGAAUAGAAAAUUACCAAAAUGCCUCUGUACUUUGACAUUUCUGCAAUUUAGCUAGGUAAGCUCG
rnacentral:lncRNA from 1 species